AAGAAGCAAAAGAAAGAUUUUGUCUCGAUUUCUAUAGUUUAAAUCUCUCGCGAGCUAUCAAUUGGAGGCAUGCUUACCAAUCGAUUUCUUAUCGAUAUCUCACAAGGCCGCUGCCUAUAUCACUAUAUUGAUAUAUUUUUGCUUCAGCCCAAGCUCGAAGAUACUGUUAUCGUUGAUGGUAGUGGUAGCUGACCGGCAAUAUUGUUGGCUUUGCUAUUGAGAGUUGCGAAGUAUGCGAGAAGAGGAUCGAAGGAGAAGGAAAAGAGG
rnacentral:lncRNA from 1 species